AACCUAAACAAUGCCUCACUUUAAUUCUGCAUAACAUUUUUUAGCCUGCUAGAGUCCUGCACACACACUUAAGGCAAGCCUCUUACAUUGAUGCACUGGACUAAGAGACUGUGUUUUGUUUGUCUCUCUCCAAAGCUGUGGAUUGUCUGCAAGACCGCUGAACUCUGAUUAGAGCGGCUUUCCUUCCGAAGCCAGGAGCAUCUGCUUCUGAAAGUGCCCUUUCCUUCCCCUCCCUCCCAGAGUCCCCCCUCUUCAGAAAGUCCCACUUCUACACACCCAGGGCCUGGGAACAGGGAAUAUUCCUGAACUUGAGCUUGUCUUCUCAGAGCCCUGUUGCCAGUUCAGCUCUCUGAAAUGCUGCUUUCCGAUGAGAAAACAGACGGGACUCAGUGCUGCCUGCAAUUUACAUUUCCCUCAAAAGCUCUAUGUUCUUGCAACACUGUUCCCCAAGCCCACGGCAAGUGGCAGCAGGAAAAGAAACAAUAGAGAAGAUAGAACUGAGAACCAGAGAAGUUGAGUGACUACAUCCCACAGCCAGUUGAAGAGCAGUGGCUGGAAGAGACUCACCAUUGCCUGGUAUUUCCAGACCAUUAGGACUCACCAUGUGUCACUAGAGGAGAGAAUGAGAUACCUGAAAUGUACCUUUCAACUUUAGGUGGAAGAAAAAUGAAGUCAAUUUCCACUGCAAAGCAUCACAAGUUGGCUUCUCCAGGAAGCAGAUUCUGAAACAGCAGUGAUCAUUUGUUAGAAAGUGCUUAUAGGAUCAACACCCAUGUGGGGAAAGAAACAGAAGCAGGAUGAGCAGAGAGAAAAGUUUCCAAUCCUGCAGGGAACUCUAAUGCUGGAACAGUCCUUCAGAGCCCUGCCUUGGAUCCAGAGAGCCAGGUUUUUAUACCCCUGUAUUAGCCUAUCAUUGUGUUUGGGCUGCCCCAGGAAAGGAGCAGGUGGCUCUUUAGAAGAUUCCUUUCCCAAAGAUGGCUGACAGCUGAGUGCUGGCAAUCGAACCUCCCCAGCAACUGGGGUAUAAAGCCUUCCCACAGUGGACAAGAUAUCUGAGCAGUGCAGCCCACGGUCAGGACUGAAGUCCCAUCACUUCUCACAACUUCCACUGCAACCAUCUCCAUCAAGCCAACACUGGGUCAUUCCUGGACUAUUGCAAUAGCACCCUGGAUGGCUUCCUUACUUCAGGUUUUGCCUGCAUACACCACAUCAGCCACAUCACAGAAGGAGUCCGCUUCUUAAAAACGCCAAGGAUAGAACCCAAGCUGCAGCUGCAACCUGCUACAACAACACCAGAUUGUUAACCUGCUCUGCCUCAAGGGAACUUCCAGGGAAGUCUCUUUUUAAAAAAAAAAAAAAAAGAGAUUUGUCCCAAAUUCUUUUUAUCACAUUCGAUAGAUUUCUCUCCACUUUUCAAGUGAUUGUGUUACAAUCUGUGACAGUUUUCCCUUCUGAUUCGUGAAAUACACUUCCAUCAUGGAACACCUGCUAGUCUGAUAGAAUCAAUCUUCUAACAUGCCUAAUAUUCUUACUCCCAGAAGGUUCUAUGUUGACACCAAAAUUAUAUUUAUACUUUAUAAGAAAUUAAAGGAGUUCUCAUUGUGACUCAACAGUAACGAAUCUGACCAGAAUCCAUGGAUGUGGGUUUGAUCCCUGGCCUAGCUCAGUGGGUUAAGGAUCUGGCGUUACUGGGACCCCUAGCCUGGGAACCUCCAUCUGCCAUUUGUGUGGCCAUAAAAAACAAAAACAAAAACAAAUAAAAAAAAUUACCCCCCCAUAUAAAAUUGGUGUUCAUUAAAAAAAAAUUUAAAAUAUUCACUUUUCCUCUAUACUUGCAGAUAGAUUCUGUCAACAUCAUGGAGUAAGUAUCUCUUAGUUAAAAACAAAAUAUAAGCAAACAUUUUAAAGAAAUUUGCAAUCACAUAAGAGAGCUUCAGAUAAAGCUUACUGUCUUAAAACAGGAUUGUUAAAGUUGUACAUUAGGUAUGCAAAAAAGUGAUUUUAGUUUUUCUACUCUAACUUGGUUAGAAUACUGCUUUCAUCUGUCUCACAGUUUAUGAAAGGAGUUCCUUCUAUGGCACGAUGGGUUAAGAAUCUGAUGGCAGCAGCUCAGGUCACUACAGAGGUAUGGGUUCAAUCCCAACCUGGCACAGUGUGUUAAAAGAUUUGGCAUUGCUACAGCUGAGGUGUAGAUCACAGCUGAGCUCAGAUUCUGAUCCUGGCCUGUGAAUAUUUUCACAUACCAUGGGUGUGGACAUAAAAAUAAAUAAAUAAAUAAAAACAAAGUUUGUGAGACUCGUA
rnacentral:lncRNA from 1 species